GUGGAACACCCCAGGUACUGUCUGACUGACUGUAGAACACCCCAGGUACUGUCUGACUUCCUGUGGAACACCCCAGGUACUGUCUGACUGACUGUGGAACACCCCAGGUACUGUCUGACUGACUGUGGAACACCCCAGGUACUGUCUGACUGACUGUGGAACACCCCAGGUACUGUCUGACUGACUGUGGAACACCCCAGGUACUGUCUGACUGACUGUGGAACACCCCAGGUACUGUCUGACUUCCUGUGGAACACCCCAGGUACUGUCUGACUUCCUGUGGAACACCCCAGGUACUGUCUGACUUCCUGUGGAACACCCCAGGUACUGUCUGACUUCCUGUGGAACACCCCAGGUACUGUCUGACUUCCUGUGGAACACCCCAGGUACUGUCUGACUUCCUGUGGAACACCCCAGGUACUGUCUGACUGACUGUGGAACACCCCAGGUACUGUCUGACUUCCUGUGGAACACCCCAGGUACUGUCUGACUUCCUGUGGAACACCCCAGGUACUGUCUGACUUCCUGUGGAACACCCCAGGUACUGUCUGACUUCCUGUGGAACACCCCAGGUACUGUCUGACUUCCUGUGGAACACCCCAGGUACUGUCUGACUUCCUGUGGAACACCCCAGGUACUGUCUGACUUCCUGUGGAACACCCCAGGUACUGUCUGACUGACUGUGGAACACCCCAGGUACUGUCUGACUGACUGUGGAACACCCCAG